UUAAAGAGUUCUAUAACUCCCAAACCCAUGUGAACAUACCUAACGUUGCCUCGGCAGGUCGCACCUACCUUGUAGCACCCUACCCUGUAGGGCCUACCCGGGAGGUGCGGGUAAGCCUGCCGGCGGCCCACCAAACUCUGUUUGAUAUUGAAUUCUGAACCUAUAACUAAAUAAGUUAAAACUUUCAACAACGGAUCUCUUGGUUCUGGCAUCGAUGAAGAACGCAGCGAAAUGCGAUAAGUAAUGUGAAUUGCAGAAUUCAGUGAAUCAUCGAAUCUUUGAACGCAUAUUGCGCCCAUUAGUAUUCUAGUGGGCAGGACCGUUCGAGCGUCAUUUCAACCCUUAAGCCUUCGUUGCUUAGUGUUGGGAGCCUACGGCAACGUAGCUCCUCAAAGUUAGUGGCGGAGUUGGUUCACACUCUAGACGUAGUAAUUUUUUAUCUCGCCUAUUAGUUGGACUAAUCCCCUGCCGUAAAACCCCCAAUUUAUCAAGGUUGACCUCGAAUCGGUUCAGACAAACUCGCUAAAUUGAAGCAUCUUAGUCAGCGAAGGAAAAGAAACCAACAGGGAUUGCCCUAGUAACGGCGAGUGAAGCGGCAACAGCUCAAAUUUGAAAUCUGGCCCUCGGGUCCGAGUUGUAAUUUGUAGAGGAUGCUUUUG
rnacentral:rRNA from 1 species